rnacentral:rRNA from 1 species
AUGGACGGCGACCCCGCCAACGGGUUCGCGGCCGUGGAGCUGGACAUGGUGAAGCAGCCCUACGACCUCGACGAAAACCAGGCCGGCCUCGACGUGAACGGCGUCCGCUCCACCUACGCCGCCUCGCUCACGCCCUUCGGCAUCCAGCUCGCCCCCAUCGACACCACGGUCAACGACGACUUCUACAUGGUCUGGGUCGACUACGACGGCGCGUCGCGAUGCUUGCGGGCGUACGUGGCCAAGAACGGGAGCAGGCCCGGCGUGGCCGUGCUGAUGAUCCUCGGCAAGCGGGCCUACUUCGUCUUCUCGGCGUCCACCGGCGUCAAGUACCCGUUCAACUGCGUGCGCAUGUGGAACAUGAUGGUGGAGAGGCUCCCCGGUUGA